rnacentral:rRNA from 1 species
CCAGAGAACUUAGCAGAGAUGCUUUGGUGCCUUCGGGAACUCUGAGACAGGUGCUGCGUGGCUGUCGUCAGCUCGUGUUGUGAAAUGUUGGGUUAAGUCCCGCAACGAGCGCAACCCUUAUCCUUUGUUGCCAGCGGUUAGGCCGGGAACUCAAAGGAGACUGCCAGUGAUAAACUGGAGGAAGGUGGGGAUGACGUCAAGUCAUCAUGGCCCUUACGAGUAGGGCUACACACGUGCUACAAUGGCGCAUACAAAGAGAAGCGACCUCGCGAGAGCAAGCGGACCUCAUAAAGUGCGUCGUAGUCCGGAUUGGAGUCUGCAACUCGACUCCAUGAAGUCGGAAUCGCUAGUAAUCGUGGAUCAGAAUGCCACGGUGAAUACGUUCCCGGGCCUUGUACACACCGCCCGUCACACCAUGGGAGUGGGUUGCAAAAGAAGUAGGUAGCUUAACCUUCGGGAGGGCGCUUACCACUUUGUGAUUCAUGACUGGGGUGAAGUCGUAACAAGGUAGGCGUAGUGCU